rnacentral:rRNA from 1 species
GGGAUUUUUUCCUGUAGCAAUACAGGAAAAAGUCUAGUGGCGAACGGGUGCGUAACACGUGAGCAACCUGCCGUGAAGUGGGGGAUAGCUCGCCGAAAGGCGAAUUAAUACCGCAUGUGGCCAAGGAAGACAUCUUCCUGACGCCAAAGCCGGGGCAACCUGGCGCUUCUCGAGGGGCUCGCGGCCUAUCAGCUUGUUGGUGAGGUAACGGCUCACCAAGGCUAUGACGGGUAGCUGGUCUGAGAGGACGACCAGCCACACUGGAACUGAGACACGGUCCAGACACCUACGGGUGGCAGCAGUCGAGAAUUUUUCACAAUGGGGGAAACCCUGAUGGAGCGACGCCGCGUGGAGGAUGAAGGUUUUCGGAUUGUAAACUCCUGUCAUUAGAGAACAAGGCACACGGUUUAACUGGCCGUGUGUUGAUAGUAUCUGAAGAGGAAGAGACGGCUAACUCUGUGCCAGCAGCCGCGGUAAUACAGAGGUCUCAAGCGUUGUUCGGAUUCAUUGGGCGUAAAGGGUGCGUAGGUGGCGAUGUAAGUCGGAUGUGAAAUCUCCAAGCUUAACUUGGAAACUGCAUUCGAUACUGCGUUGCUCGAGGACUGUAGAGGGCAUUGGAAUUCACGGUGUA